rnacentral:rRNA from 1 species
UGCAUAUCCAAAAAGCGGAGGAAAAGAAACCAACAGGGAUUGCCUUAGUAACGGCGAGUGAAGCGGCAAAAGCUCAAAUUUGAAAUCGGCCACCAGGUCGAGUUGUAAUUUGUAGAUUGUAUCUUGAGAGCGGAUUAAAGUCUGUUGGAACACAGCGCCUUAGAGGGUGACAGCCCCGUAAAAUCUAUUCUCAUUGUAAGAUACUUUCGAAGAGUCGAGUUGUUUGGGAAUGCAGCUCUAAGUGGGAGGUAAAUUCCUUCUAAAGCUAAAUAUUGACGAGAGACCGAUAGCGAACAAGUACUGUGAAGGAAAGAUGAAAAGCACUUUGAAAAGAGAGUGAAAAAGUACGUGAAAUUGUUAAAAGGGAAGGGUAUUGAAUCAGACUUGGUGCUGUUGUUCAACUGUGUUUCGGCAUAGUGUACUCAGCAGUACUAGGCCAAGGUGGGGUGUUUGGGAGUGAAAAAGAAGUUGGAAGGUAACUCUUCGGAGUGUUAUAGCCUACUUUCAUAGCUCCUCAGGCGCCUCAGGACUGCGCUUCGGCAAGGACCUUGGCAUAAUGAUUCUAUACCGCCCGUCUUGAAACACGG